rnacentral:rRNA from 1 species
GAAGGGCGACUGAAACGGGAGUAGCCCAGCGCAAAGCCUCGUGCUUCCUAACGGGGCACGAGGGGUGCUGCGUUCGGGAGAGGUCUUGCACGCGGUCCCGCGCCGCCUAAGUUGUACAUGAAUGACUCUAAUGCCCACGGAGGGUGUCAGGCCCGUGUGGCGGUAAAAGACCCCCGAAGGGGGGAAGGUACGGGACUGCGGAAAGGGCCUCUCCUUAGAGUCGGGUUGCCUGAAACCGCAACCUAAAGUAGGUGGUAAACUCCAUCUAAGGCUAAAUACGACCACGAGACCGAUAGCGAACAAGUACCGUGAGGGAAAGUUGAAACAGAACCCUGUAGAGAGAGUUCAAGAGAACGUGAAACCGUUAAGAGGCUAAACGGGUGGAGAUUCGAAGAUCGAACUGGGGGGAUUCAGUUCGUUCGGUAGUCGGGAGGGGGUUUCGGGAUCACAAGAGCGACCCCCGAGCGUGCGGCUCUAAUGUCGUAGUCCGCUCUAGGGGGCGCGGCCCGUCCCCUGCCCGGCGCCGGCGGGCGAUUUUCCCCCCGCAGUAGGUCGCCGCGAUCCGUUGGGAGGGCGUCUGAGGCCCGGGCUUUGGCAGGAACCGACGUCGUCGCUGUCGCUAAAGGCUGGUGCCCCCGUGGUUGUCAGUCUGGCAGAAGCGGCGUCUGGGGAUCCCCCGGUGUAAGUUACUGUUAUUAUUAUUAUGACAGUAAUCCUUGUCUUGCUCUCCCGACGGUCGCUCCUUGGGGCGGCGUCGCCGGCAACGGCGGCGCUCGCCUUCGCGGUGUGCAAAGAGUCGAGGCUCUACCCGACCCGUCUUGAAACACGGACCAAGGAGUCCAACAUGUAUGCGAGUCAUUGGGCUCACUAAACCCACAGGCGCAAUGAAAGUGAAAAGUGCUUUGCCUCGUGCAUAGCUACAGGGCCGAUCCCUCGGUCCGGACGACCUCUGCCUCUCCCUGGACGGAGUGACAAUGCCUUCCUCCCCGGGGAGCUACCGCUGGUAGUUGGGCUAAGGACCCGUCCGGUGCCGCAAGCCUCUCCUCCUGCAUUAUUAUUAUUAGUAGGAGGAAGGGGGGCGCAGGUCCGGGACUCGCCAUGACGAACAGCUGUCUCUCUGGCUGGCUUUACCGGCUAGCUUGCGGAGCUUCUGGAUGUGUCGGCGAGUACCUAGAGCAUAAAUGUUGGUACCCGAAAGAUAGUGAACUAUGCCUGGCCAGGAUGAAGCCAGGGGAAACCCUGGUGGAGGUCCGUAGCGAUUCUGACGUGCAAAUCGAUCGUCAGAGCUGGGUAUAGGGGCGAAAGACCAAUCGAACUAUCUAGUAGCUGGUUCCCUCCGAAGUUUCCCUCAGGAUAGCUGGCACUCGUCAAUAACGAGUUUCAUCCGGUAAAGCGAAUGAUUAGGGGUGUUGGGGACGAAAUGUCCUCAGCCUAUUCUCAAACUUUAAAUGGGUGAGGUGCCGGGCUUGCUUUAUGUGCCCUCACGGGCCUUGAAGCCCCGGACACGAAUCGGAGUGCUUAGUGGGCCAAUUUUGGUAAGCAGAACUGGCGCUGUGGGAUGAACCAAACGUCGAGUUAAGGGGCCUAAAUGGAUGCUAAUUCCGAUACCAUGGAAGGGAGUUGCUUGCUAUAGACAGCAGGACGGUGGCCAUGGAAGUUGGAAUCCGCUAAGGAGUGUGUAACAACUCACCUGCCGAAGCAAGUAACCCUGAAAAUGGCAUGGCGCUCAAGCAUCCUCCCGAUACUCGACCGCCGGGCGCACUAUUGGCUGCAACAAGGAGGUCUCGAGGCCCCGGUGAGUAGGAGGAGCGCGGUGGUGAGCGUUGAAGGAUUCGGCGUGAGCCGGUCUGGAGCCGCCACUGGUGCGGAUCUUGGUGGUAGUAGCAAAUAUUCGAGCGAGACCACCCUCGUUGACCGACGCGGAGAAGGGUUCCACGCCAACAUCGCUUGGUCGUGGGUUAGUCGUACCUAAGCCCGGGGAUAGCAUCCCGAUUUACUAGGUGUGCUGGCUUUCCUGUCCCAAGUCAUAAUUAUGCACCACCCUGGUAAUCGUAAUUACUGUCCACGCUCGCGCCUCGCAUGCGUAUUCCCCACUGAUUGACUGCUGACGACAGGCAGACUUACUGUACUGACUACUACUGCGAGAGAGAGAGUCAGUCAGUCGGUCGGUCGGUCGGUCGGUCAUUCAUACUAUGAGGUGCAUGCAUGCAUGCCCGCAUUCUGUUACGUUGCGCUGGUGGAGGUGGACUGGCCCGUCGCUGCUGCUAAAGCUAAUAAUGAUAUAUAACAUUACUGCUGCAGCGGCGUCGGAGCUCGAGAGCUUGAUUUACACUUUGUCCUGUCCAGAUGUCAUGCUCNUCNNAGACNGACAACAACUAAAAGACUUUCUUUCUUUCUUUCUUUUAUUAGUCAGUCAGUCAGUCGGUCGGUUAGUGUGUUGCUGUUGCUUAUCCAUAGCAUCAUAGUGAUCCACNGCUACAAACUACAACAUGUACUACUCCUCGUCUUGAGAGAGAGGGAGAGAGAGAGAGAGAAGAGACCUCUCUCUCGCUCAGGGCGGAGUAAGUCGUGGUAUUAGUAGUAGUAGUAGCUCCGUGCGAUCACUGCUCCCCAAAC